CUGGGUUUCAGUGAACACACAUAAAUAUGUUCUUUUUCUUAAUCUUACAAUUUUUAGGUACAGUUUUGAGCUGCAGUACAGAUCCUCCUUCUGAACAUGGACCAUGUAAUUCAUUACUUCAACGAUGGACUUUUAGUGAAGGAGCUUGCAGGUUGUUUAUCUACGGCGGUUGUGAGGGAAAUGGAAACAAUUAAAGAACUUACCAAGAUUGUAAUAAGGCGUGCAGGGAGAAAGAUGCUCGUAUUCCUGUAGAAGUGGGAUUACCCGUCAACCGAGGGAUUUGUUUUGAUCCUCCAGCAGAUCCGGAAUCAUGCUUUCAAUCCCUUCAGAGAUGGACUUUUAUACUUGAAAGUGGACUUUGCCAGCCGUAUCUUUACUCAGGAUGUAAACAAGGAUUGAACAGUUUCCGAACCCGGAAAGAAUGUGAGAAGGCGUGUUCCCAGUAUUCAACGCGUACAAGGGUCUUAAAUCUUUAACCAAGAAAACAAGAAACAAAAUCAAGAAUAGUAUUUGAAAUUUAGAAUUAAGAAUAUGAGCAAUAGUUGAUAUGUAGAUGAAAAACCUAUCUGUAAAAUUUAUCUUGUUAAUGCAUACGUCAACAAUAUUUAGAAUCGAAAAUAAACUAAAUAUUGAAGAACUGUGGUCAAACUUUCCUAAAAUUUAAUAAAAUCUUUUGAGCAUAGAAAUCUACAAACCAUAUUUCUUUUCAAACUACAAUAUUUUCGUUUAUUGUGAUACUAACCCAUAGCAUUCCAUAUAUUUUUGAAAAACCCUUGGCCUCUAACUUAAUAAUCUGUAAAAAAAAAUUCCAAGAUUCCAAAUAUUUAUUCCGAAAUCUAGUUAUCCCAAAAAAUCAUAAAUUAUAAAUUUUUGAAAAGAGGGACCCAUCGAAUUCAAAAAUGCAAACAAAUUGCAUAAUUUCAAAGUGUGUGUAGUAUUAAUGAAAAACAGAAAAUUUGUAAAUCUACUUUAAAGACGUCUUUGCAAUAGGUAACAAUACAUUUCCUUUCAAAACAUGUUCAAUCUGAGGCCGAAUUUAAAGAAUUUAAGCCGGGGCUUACAUAUGGUUUGUUCCAUACUUAAAAUUGUGUUUCAAGAUUUAAGCCGGCGCUUAAUUGAAACCGGUCUUAGGUGGAUUUAAGACACGACGGCUCAAAUUCAUUAAAUUCUGGCACUGCUUUCUGUUGUCGAGAGUUGUAUAAUGACAAGAAGUAAAUCGGUAUAAAUACAUAUUUAUUCUGAUUUUAAAAAAAGAAGUGCGUGAAAAGGAAUACUUAAAGACUUUAAAAAGUCACUUUUUUACAUUUUAAAUUAAUUUGCACUGAAUAUUAGAAACUUUUAAUGAUUUUAAAAAAUGUAAUUCUAACGUGUAUGAAAUACAAAACUCGUUCGAAAAAUUCUAAUGUUUUGUUUAAUAUACAAAUAGCCCCCCAUGUAUACGCCCCUCAGCCCAGCGUUUUCAAAUAAAAGAUUGAAAUACAAAAUCGCGCAACCUCGAGCACAGGAAAUCUCGCAAAUCGCCAAUAUUAGGCUAAGCUAUAUAAUCAGCAUACAGUUCAACUCAACACUUCGGAGACAUCAAAAGAAUUUAUAAAAUGUUUUUUUUUUCUAAAUCUACUGAUAUCGGAAUUUUGAAUGCUGCACUUUUUUAGUUUUUCGAUUUAAUAAUUAUAUGGAGCUCUUCAAAACUGUUCUUGCAUAUGUUAUGGCAAUUUUUUUUUUAAAUUACUGAGUUUUAAUGCUUAUACAACACCCAUUAAACAAUUGUCAAGCCGACAUUUUAUAAAUCCUUUCGAUACCUCCGAAGUUCUGGGUCUUUUUGAGAAUAAUGUUAAAAAAUGUUUAAACCUUUUCAA
rnacentral:lncRNA from 1 species